rnacentral:rRNA from 1 species
CAUCUUUAAUAGGAUGUUACGAUUGUGUGAAUACAUAGCACAUUCGAGGUAGACGCAGAGAACUGAAACAUCUAAGUACCUGCAGGAAGAGAAAGAAAAUUCGAUUCCCUGAGUAGCGGCGAGCGAAACGGGAAAAGCCCAAACCAGCAAGCUUGCUUGUUGGGGUUGUAGGACUCCGAUAUGGUAGUUCUUUCAGAUAGUCGAAUGACUUGGAAAAGUCAGUCAAAGAGGGUAAAAACCCCGUAGACGAAAUGUGGAAGACACCUAGGAGGAUCCUGAGUACGGCGGAACACGAGAAAUUCCGUCGGAAUCCGGGAGGACCAUCUCCCAAGGCUAAAUACUCCCUAGUGACCGAUAGUGAACCAGUACCGUGAGGGAAAGGUGAAAAGCACCCCGGAAGGGGAGUGAAAUAGAACCUGAAACCGUGUGCCUACAACAAGUCAAAGCCCGUUAAUGGGUGAUGGCGUGCCUUUUGUAGAAUGAACCGGCGAGUUACGAUUGCAUGCGAGGUUAAGUUGAAGAGACGGAGCCGCAGCGAAAGCGAGUCUGAAUAGGGCGUUUGAGUAUGUAGUCGUAGACCCGAAACCAUGUGAUCUACCCAUGUCCAGGUUGAAGGUGCGGUAAAACGCACUGGAGGACCGAACCCACGUACGUUGAAAAGUGCGGGGAUGAGGUGUGGGUAGCGGAGAAAUUCCAAACGAACUUGGAGAUAGCUGGUUCUCUCCGAAAUAGCUUUAGGGCUAGCCUCGGAAUUGAGAAUGAUGGAGGUAGAGCACUGUUUGGACUAGGGGCCCAUCUCGGGUUACCGAAUUCAGAUAAACUCCGAAUGCCAUUCAUUCAUAUCCGGGAGUCAGACUGUGAGUGAUAAGAUCCAUAGUCGAAAGGGAAACAGCCCAGACCACCAGCUAAGGUCCCAAAAUAUAUGUUAAGUGGAAAAGGAUGUGGGGUUGCACAGACAACUAGGAUGUUGGCUUAGAAGCAGCCACCAUUUAAAGAGUGCGUAAUAGCUCACUAGUCGAGUGACCCUGCGCCGAAAAUGUACCGGGGCUAAACAUAUUACCGAAGCUGUGGAGUACACCUUUAGGUGUAUUGGUAGGAGAGCGUUCUAAGGGCGUUGAAGGCAGAUCGUGAGGACUGCUGGAGCGCUUAGAAGUGAGAAUGCCGGUAUGAGUAGCGAAAGACAGGUGAGAAUCCUGUCCACCGAAUGACUAAGGUUUCCUGGGGAAGGCUCGUCCGCCCAGGGUUAGUCGGGACCUAAGCCGAGGCCGACAGGCGUAGGCGAUGGAUAACAGGUUGAUAUUCCUGUACCCGUUGUUUUUGUUUGAGCAAUGGAGGGACGCAGGAGGCUAAGGAAUGCAGACGAUCGGAAAUGUCUGUCCAAGCAGUAAGUCUGAAGAGGAGUCAAAUGCUUCUUUUCUUAAGGACAAGCUGUGAUGGGGAGGGAAAUAAUAGUACCGAAGUUCCUGAUGUCACACUGCCGAGAAAAGCUUCUAGUGAGAAAACAGCGGCCCGUACCGCAAACCGACACAGGUAGUCGAGGAGAGAAUCCUAAGGUGAGCGAGAGAACUCUCGUUAAGGAACU